rnacentral:misc_RNA from 1 species
GAAGAAAGCGGCAGCAGAGCAGCACGGCGACAAAAAAGAAACACCCCCGCACACACGAGAGGCGAGAAGCGGCGGAGGGACGACGGUGAUGGCGUGUGGGUGCCGAGUGCGUGUGCCGUGUGCAGAGAUGAGGCGCGGAGGGCUGGUGGAGAGGGGGAAUGAUAGAUGAGACAGCACCAUUAUGGUUUGUCUUGGUUUCUCGCCCCACUUCUCACUCCCUCGACCUUCCUCGUCUUGGGCAGUACACCGCGUCUCCUGCGGCCCCCCUCCCCCUCCUCCUUCCCGGCGGUCAUCUCUUCACCUGCGCACCUUGUCCGUGAAACUCUCUUGCGCCUUCUCUAUCUGCGUGUGUGUGUGUGUGAUAGGGAAAACAAGAAUAUCUAUAUCCACACAAACACACACACACACACACACACCUCUCUAUAUAUGGAUAUGUACAGAUGUAUACCUGUAUGCAUCGAUAAAGCAACCGAAAAAAAAGUUAAACAGCGGGCAGCAGCCCUCCCAAGUGCUUGCAACUCUGUGUCUCUGUGUGGGAGGCAGUCACGAUGUGCAGAGGAGAAGAGCACGCCGUGACGCCAGGUCCCGGCGAUGCACCCUUGUGGAGGAGGUGGAGGUGGCUCCACGGCGUUUGUGAUCGCACUUCGGGGGGGGACUGCCCGCUCACAAACGUCAAUCAACUAAGCAAGUGAUAUACACACGAGAAACAGC